UUUUCUUUUAAAAUUUGAUAAAUAUAAUGCAUUUUUGUCAAUCAAACAAAACGAAUAGAGGAAUUAUCAAACACGUGAGAUGAUGAUUCACAAAACGAUCCAACAACAUAAUACAUUAUGGUCCCCAAUUUGAAACUUCCCGAUUAAAUUCGUAUUUGACGGUAGCUUAGCUUAGCAACUUCGAAAAAGACUUAAACCAUACGACCGAGGUCGAGGUGCAUUCACUAUAGUCCCCCCAUUACCAUAUACUAAUAUAAAUCUCACAACUCUCUUCAAAAAAAAAAACCAAAACUUUCAAUCACCCUUUUGUAGAAAAAA
rnacentral:lncRNA from 1 species